AACGAACGCUGGCGGCAUGCCUAACACAUGCAAGUCGAACGAGACCUUCGGGUCUAGUGGCGCACGGGUGCGUAACGCGUGGGAACCUGCCCUUAGGUUCGGAAUAACUCCCCGAAAGGGGUGCUAAUACCGGAUAAUGUCUUCGGACCAAAGAUUUAUCGCCUUUGGAUGGGCACGCGUUGCAUUAGCUCGUUGGUAGGGUAAAAGCCUACCAAGGCGACGAUCCAUAGCUGGUCUGAGAGGAUGAUCAGCCACACUGGGACUGAGACACGGCCCAGACUCCUACGGGAGGCAGCAGUGGGGAAUAUUGGACAAUGGGCGAAAGCCUGAUCCAGCAAUGCCGCGUGAGUGAUGAAGGCCUUAGGGUUGUAAAGCUCUUUUACCCGGGAUGAUAAUGACAGUACCGGGAGAAUAAGCUCCGGCUAACUCCGUG
rnacentral:rRNA from 1 species